GACGAACGCUGGCGGCGUGCUUAACACAUGCAAGUCGAACGGAAAGGCCCCCACCUUGGUGGGGGUGCUCGAGUGGCGAACGGGUGAAUAACACGUGGGUGAUCUGCCCUGUACUUCGGGAUAAGCUUGGGAAACUGGGUCUAAUACCGGAUAGGACCAUGGUUUAGUGUCUCAUGGUGGAAAAAUUAUUGUUUUGGUGCAGGAUGAGCUCGCGGCCUAUCAGCUUGUUGGUGGGGUAAUGGCCUACCAAGGCGUCGACGGGUAGCCGGCCUGAGAGGGUGGACGGCCACAUUGGGACUGAGAUACGGCCCAGACUCCUACGGGAGGCAGCAGUGGGGAAUAUUGCACAAUGGGCGCAAGCCUGAUGCAGCGACGCCGCGUGGGGGAUGACGGCCUUCGGGUUGUAAACUCCUUUCGUUAGGGACGAAGCCACACCUUUUUUGGGUGUGGUGACGGUACCUUUGUGAAGAAGCACCGGCUAACUACGUG
rnacentral:rRNA from 1 species